AUAUACAGGUUAACCCAAUUAAAAGCACUUACUUUUGAACCUAUGAAUUGCAAGAAAUGCUAGAAUCAUAUUUAGUCUUGUGAAACGCCGUGUCAAAUACAUUCAACUUGCUCAAAGCAAAAUUAAGUUAAUUCAUUUUGUAGUCAUGGCUGGGGUAGGCUAUAUAUUUCCACAGAAAAAAAAGGUGUUCUUUUGCGUUCGCUAUUAUCCGAGUUUUUUGGAAGAAAAACAUCGGUUGUUUGUACUCUUUAGAACAGUUUUAAAGACUGUAAUCACUUGUGUUCUUCUCUUCCAUCUCUUUCACAAAUAAUUCAAUCGUAGUAUAGUAUUUUCCCCUGCGUUUGUUUAGGCGAACUGCUUUCCUUUCCGAUCAAGCGAGUGGUGCGCGCUCCCGCGAGGGGGUGCAUCUGACGCCGGGGGUGCUGAAUUGGGUACAACACCGGGACCAACAGGAGUGAGGUGAUGUUGUUGAGAGAAUUUGAGAGCUCCAUGAUGAAAUCAGCUUUAGAGAAUCACCGAACAUCUGUGCUAUGUUGCCUUGUGACCGCUUUGCUCACUCCGAAUAUCAUCAUCACUUGGCAUUCAUCCCAGGGACGGGUGGAAGCCGGUCAGACCUGGGUAUCUGACGCUAACGAAAGGUUCACUGCAGGAUGCCGACUACAAAUAAACGUGACAACUGGCAAGGACUCCCAAAUUUCCCCAAAUGCCGAGGAGCACAGGGAGGAGUGGUGGUGUGAGGUGCAGCAGGGAGAUUUCACAUUGAGAAGUGAAACGUCUUCAAUUUACACAACUAAAGGUAAUGUGCCUUUACUAUCUUGGCUCUUUCUUCUUGUAACUGACACGAACUGAUGCUGUCUGCCUCAUAUGUCACCUUCGGUUCACUGAUUCUCCUCCUUUAGUGUCCGAGGGGUGUCCUGCUGUCCUGUACUCCGCUGUGGCACUCAUCUCGCUGUGUGUUCUGUCCCUCGUCCUGCUCACCUCUCACUGGAUCCUCUACUUGCGCAAAGGUUUGUUACACAUAGAAGGAGCAGCACGAAGAUGUCAUUAAGUGCCGAUAAGAGCUGUAUAAUAAUCUUAUUACCCAAUAUAUUGC
rnacentral:lncRNA from 1 species